UACGUAGGGGGCAAGCGUUGUCCGGAUUUAUUGGGCGUAAAGAGCGUGUAGGCGGCCAUACAGGUCAGCUGUGAAAACUCGAGGCUCAACCUCGAGACGUCGGUUGAAACCGUAUGGCUAGAGUCCGGAAGAGGAGAGUGGAAUUCCCGGUGUAGCGGUGAAAUGCGCAGAUAUCGGGAGGAACACCAGUGGCGAAGGCGAUCAUCUGGGACUAACCUGACGCUGAGGAGCGAAAGCCAGGGGAGCAAACGGG
rnacentral:rRNA from 1 species